rnacentral:precursor_RNA from 1 species
GGCCGGCUGUGAGUGUUUCUUUGGCAGUGUCUUAGCUGGUUGU